CCUGAUGCAGCAACGCCGCGUGAGGGAUGACGGCCUUCGGGUUGUAAACCUCUUUUAGUAGGGAAGAAGGGCUUCGGCUUGACGGUACCUGCAGAAAAAGCACCGGCUAACUACGUGCCAGCAGCCGCGGUAAUACGUAGGGUGCGAGCGUUGUCCGGAAUUAUUGGGCGUAAAGAGCUCGUAGGCGGUUUGUCACGUCUGCUGUGAAAUCCCGAGGCUCAACCUCGGGCCUGCAGUGGGUACGGGCAGACUGGAGUGCGGUAGGGGAGAAUGGAAUUCCUGGUGUAGCGGUGGAAUGCGCAGAUAUCAGGAGGAACACCGAUGGCGAAGGCAGUUCUCUGGGCCGUAACUGACGCUGAGGAGCGAAAGCGUGGGGAGCGAACAGGAUUAGAUACCCUGGUAGUCCACGCCGUAAACGUUGGGCGCUAGAUGUGGGGACCUUUCCACGGUUUCCGUGUCGUAGCUAACGCAUUAAGCGCCCCGCCUGGGGAGUACGGCCGCAAGGCUAAAACUCAAAGGAAUUGACGGGGGCCCGCACAAGCGGCGGAGCAUGCGGAUUAAUUCGAUGCAACGCGAAGAACCUUACCAAGGCUUGACAUAACCGAGAACGCCGCAGAAAUGUGGAACUCUUUGGAC
rnacentral:rRNA from 1 species